UACGUAGGGGGGCUAGCGUUGUCCGGAAUCAUUGGGCGUAAAGAGCGUGUAGGCGGCCCGGUAAGUCCGCUGUAAAAGUCAAAGGCUCAACCUUUGAAUGUCAGUGGAUACUGCCGGGCUAGAGUCCGGAAGAGGCGAGUGGAACUCCUGGUGUAGCGGUGGAAUGCGCAGAUAUCAGGAAGAACACCAACGGCGAAGGCAGCUCGCUAGGACGGUACUGACGCUGAGACGCGAAAGCGUGGGGAGCAAACAGG
rnacentral:rRNA from 1 species